rnacentral:pre_miRNA from 1 species
UUAUAAAAAAAAAAAAGUUUAAUUGUGGUGGGUUGACAGUCCAAAACAGUUUUGAACAUACAAUCAAUCAAAACAUUUAGAAUCACCACAUCAAUUAACGAUUUUAAUUCAUAUGGACCAAACGUGGCGAUUCAGAAUAUUUUGAUUGGUUGUACGUGCAAAACUGUUUUGGAAUGUCAACUCACCACCAUUAAACUCAAAAAUAAAAUACCAAUUAUGAU